CUGCAAAAGCAAACACAAACACAACUGCAAUGAAGGCGAGGAAGAGAGAUACUCAAAGUUUAUACGAUAAAUCAAGAACAGAAUAUUCAUCGUAAGUGACGGGAAUCGAUCAUACAACCAUAGAUAAACAACCUGUUUGGCUAACUUAUUUUGAAAAACAUUAUAUAUAUUUUGUUGAAACAGAUGUUUGCCUCAUCUCCAUAUCAUGCUACCAUAUCGCAAUAAAUACGGAGGUAUAAACGCUGAUAUGUUCAGUUGACUGUUUUGACAGCUGACAAGGGUUGCCACACUGUCAAAUGGGUUGCUUCUCUUUGUAAACAAAAAAUGAAAAUAUUUUGAAAAUCACAAUAAAAUGCAUGAAGGCAAUUGAAAGUCGACAAUUAAAAUAAUUUAUUAUGCAUGCCAUUCCUAUAUCUAUUAAGAUGGUGUGAAAAAUAUGUGAAUAUCUAUUGUAUGUUGGCUGGCAUCCCUAAUCAGAGAUAAAUCAAUAGCGGCGUGAUUUGUUUACAAAAAUGUUUAACUAAAUUUUAUGUGAAGCAAAGCAUAAUGCUCAAAGUUAAUUUGAAAUUGAGUGCAAUAUGGCAGUUACUGUUCCUGCUGCUGUCGAUAAAAAGCGCAACGCUGCCGGCGUUCGCUUCCAAUGGGGAUCGCACUCAAUUCUUUCACAAUUGUCGACAGAACUGCGAACGAACAAAUUGCUCAGCCGAUGGCUUAGAGAUACAGGAGCAAGCGGUUAGCUUUUAUGGCCAAACGAUAUUUGAUCGGCUCUUUGGAUGGCGCUGCACUGACGAAUGCUCCUAUGGCUGCAUGUGGCGCACGGUUUAUGCAUUCAUGGAGCGAGGCUGGCCCAUACCUCAGUUCUAUGGCAAAUGGCCAUUUCUACGAUUGUUUGGCAUGCAGGAGCCGGCAUCAGUUAUAUUCUCUGUUCUAAAUUUUAUCAUGCAUUUUCGUAUGUUACGUAAAUUCAGGUGGAACGUGCGCCCGGAUAGUCCAUGCUAUAUGCUCGCCCAUAUCUUUGCUAUAGUCUGUCUUAAUGGCUGGGUUUGGUCGGCUAUAUUCCAUACCAGAGACUUUCCCAUAACCGAGCUUUUGGACUAUGCGUUCGCUUACUCAAUUGUUGUGUGUUCCUUUUACUGCAUGCUAAUGCGUAUGCUGCAUCGGUAUUCACUCUUUUUAAGGGGCGUCAUUACCUUGGCUUGCGUCUCGUACUACAUCAAUUACUUCGCCUAUCUGAGCACGGGCAAAUUCAAUUACUCUUUUAAUAUGAAGGUAAAUAUUGCGACGGGCGUGCUCACGGCUCUGGGCUGGUUUAUCUGGUGUCAACGUGUGCGCACUCGAAGGCCCUACUUCAGACGCAUUUUACGGUUUUACGUGUUAUUCGCUAUGGCCAUGAGCCUGGAGCUGUUGGAUUUUCCGCCUAUCUUAUGGAUACUCGAUGCACAUUCGCUAUGGCACUUAGCUACAAUUCCCAUAGUGCCAUUAUACUACGACUUUUUGAUUGAGGAUUGUCAGACUCUGCGCAAAGAGAAAGAAAUGGUCCCGUUGGCACAUUCUCAAUUUUUCGCAUAAUCAAGAGACCAUCUAACACACGUCCAAAGACCACAUGUUUGCCAUCCAAGAAAUUACACCUGGCACAGGUGAUGAAGAAUUGACAGCCAUUGGUGUCGCGGCCGCUAUUGGCCAUCGCCAAAAGACCAGGUGAAUCGUGUUUUAACGUAAAGUUCUCAUCGGCAAAUGUAUUCCCAUAGAUACUGGUCACACCAGUGCCAUCACCUUGGACGAAAUCUCCGCCUUGUAUCAUGAAAUCCUUGAUGACUCUGUGAAAGCUGGCCCCUUUGUACCCAAUGGGCACACCGUCCGGCCGAUAUUCGCCCGUGCAGAAUUGUCGAAAGUUUUCGGCUGUGCGCGGCACAGUGUCCGCAAAUAACUCAAAUAUCAUGCGUCCAAUUUCCUGCCAAACGCAAUUAUAUCAAAGAACACCACGGGAUUGUUUGAGCUGCGCAGUUGCGAUUGUAUUUGAUUCCAGUUGGGCAUGUUUAAUAUUAAUAUUACUAAUAAAUGCAAACGUUUAACAAUAAAA